AAACUGGCAUCUCUAAACGCAAUUACUGAAACGCUCUGCGCUCACUGUUACGAGUGCCGUUGCAGAGGCGUCAGCAACCAAAACUCUUGCAAAUAUCUUUGUGCCAGAGUGUUGAAUCGAUAUUUGACUGUGCGCUCCCAAGCUGUCUCUCAUCCACAGAGUAAUUACACUUCUUUUUUUACUUACGACUAAUUACGUCUCUUGCGCUCGUAUAUGUGUGUCAUCUGGUAGCAGGCAUACGAGAUGCACACGUUUUGGUCAAACGACAACCAAAAAAAUGAUGUUUCUAAAACGUGAAUUUCUCACUUCAAAAACUUUAUCGUCGCAUAUCUCCGAUCAGAAGGCACGUUAUAUAGCAAAACUUGUUAUAUAAGCGUUUUUAACUCAUAAAUUCAACCGAUUUCGUUAAAUUUUAUGAUGAUAUACAAGAUGUAGAAAAAAAAGACGAGGAAAUAGCACCUUCUACUUCACCUCCGGAAAACAGAAUUAAGAAAAUUAUCAUAUGCUUUAUACAAAUACAAAAAUGAUAUGUAACACAAAAGUGGAUUCGAACACAUUACCGAUUAUACAUGGUUUACAAUUUUGGGCAAUGGAUUGGAGAAUCAUGUUGCAUAGCAUUAUGUUUUCACUCGACUAUACCAAUAAUAAACCAUGGAUGUUGUGACUUUUUGACGGAUUGUUUUCCUCAAUUAAUAACUAUUGCGCUCCUGGCUGUCGAUUUUUAUUUAAGUGGAUUUUUACUGGUUUAUUGGUAUCUAAAGAGGCUUGCAAAUAAACAGAAAAGUAAUUACAAGACAAAAUUACAGGAGUUGUUUAUCUUCUUAGUGUAUAUACACUAAAGAGAUAUAUUCGGCUGACACCGGCUUAUACGAUUAUGAUAGUAAUAGUAUAUUUAACUUUCUUCUACUACAGUACGAUGUCUAUAAUUUUUACAUAUGAACAGCUACACAAAGCUGUCACAAAUUCUGGUGAUCGAAUAUUCAUGCAUAAAUAAUUACAACGAUAUGAAUACAAUAGUAUAGAAACGCAUGUUACUCUCUGUGUAUUAGCUAAUUAUUUGAUAUUUGAUGCUUUCGCGGUGUGUUGUAUUAACAUUCGAAGAUGUUUUGACCGGAUUUGAACCAUGUUAGUGUCAUUUUUAUAUUGAUGUUUCGCGAACAUUUCAGCUUACUUCAUUAUGGUUUCAAGAGUAGCCUCAUAUAUCAAAUAAAAAUUUCUUUAUGUACAUUUUGUUAUAGUGUUUGACUUGAAGCUGGUAUCUGGCCAGUGAUAUGCAAUUUUACAUAAUUGGCAUAGUCCUAUUAAUAUUGUCGACCGUAUAUAUGUCGAUAAUUAUCUAUUGAUUCGAAAUUAUUGCGCAGUUAUCCUCAUUUCAUUUACAUUCAAAUAAAUAUAAAAUGGUGAAUAGUUAUUGAUUCAAAAUUAUUAUACAGUUAUCU